UGCGAGUCGAACGGCAACAAGCUGAAGUCUUCGGAUGGAUGCUUGCUAGAGUGGCAAACGGGUGAGUAACACGUGGGUAACGUGCCCUGCAGACGGGAAUAACAGAGGGAAACUUCUGCUAAUACCCGAUGGUCCAGCUUGUCUUAAGAUGAGUUGGUAAAGGAGUAAUCCGCUGCAGGAUCGGCCCGCGCCCCAUUAGCUAGUUGGUAGGGUAAUGGCCUACCAAGGCGACGAUGGGUAGCCGGUCUGAGAGGAUGACCGGCCACACUGGGACUGAGACAUGGUCCAGACUCCUACGGGAGUUAGCAUCAGGGAAUCUUGCGCAAUGGGCGAAAGCCUGACGCAGCGACGCCGCGUGGGUGAUGAAGGUCUGCGGAUCGUAAAGCCCUGUCACGAGGGACGGAUAAAUGACGGUACCUCGGAAGGAAGCCCCGGCUAACUACGUGCCAGCAGCCGCGGUAAGACGUAGGGGGCUAGCGUUGUCCGGAAUUACUGGGCGUAAAGAGCGCGUAGGCGGUUCAGUAGGCGGAAGGUGAAAUUUCGGGGCUCAACUCCGAACCUGCUUUCCGAACUGCUGGACUAGAGUAUGGGAGAGGGCAGUGGAAUUCCUGGUGUAGCGGUGAAAUGCGUAAAUAUCAGGAGGAACUCCCGUGGCGAAGGCUGCUGCCUGGAACAUUACUGACGCUGAGGCGCGAAAGCUAGGGGAGCGAACGGGAUUAGAUACCCCGGUAGUCCUAGCUGUAAACGAUGGACACUAGGUGUUGGAGGCAUCGACCCCUCCAGUGCUGUUUUGCUAACGCGUUAAGUGUCCCGCCUGGGGAGUACGGCCGCAAGGUUGAGACUCAAAGGAAUUGACGGGGGCCCGCACAAGCGGUGGAGCGUGUGGGUUAAUUGGAUGAUACGCCAAGAACCUUACCAGGGCUUGACAUGUCCUUGUAAACCGUGGAAACACGGUCCCCUAGCAAUAGGCAAGGUCACAGAAGGUGCAUGGUUGUCGUCAGCUCGUGUCGUGAGAUGUUGGGAUAAGUCCCGCAACGAGCGCAACCCUCGCCAGAUGUUGCCAUCGGGUAAUGCCGGGAACUCUUCUGGGACUGCCUGAGUAAUCAGGAGGAAGGAGAGGAUGACGUCAAAUCAGCAUGCCUCUUACGCCCUGGGCUGCACACGCGCUACAAUGGUAGGGACAAAGGGUUGCCAAGCCGCGAGGUGGAGCUAAUCCCCAAAACCCUAUCCCAGUUCGGAUCGCAUGUCUGCAACUCGACUGCGUGAAGUUGGAAUCGCUAGUAACCGUAGAUCAGCUACGCUGCGGUGAAUACGUUCCCGGGCCUUGUACACACCGCCCGUCAAGUCAUGAAAGAUGGCAGCGCCCGAAGUCCGCUACGGCGGCCGAAGGUGAGGCCAUUGAUUGGGACUAAGUCGGAACAAGGUA
rnacentral:rRNA from 1 species